rnacentral:tRNA from 2 species
GAAAGCAUAACUGGAUAGUGUAUAACUAUUUCUGGGUUACAGCCGUAGAGGUUGGGGGUUCGAAUCCCUCCGCGUUCA